rnacentral:rRNA from 1 species
AUGAACGCUAGCUACAGGCUUAACACAUGCAAGUCGAGGGGCAGCAUGAACUUAGCUUGCUAAGUUUGAUGGCGACCGGCGCACGGGUGAGUAACACGUAUCCAACCUGCCGAUGACUCGGGGAUAGCCUUUCGAAAGAAAGAUUAAUACCCGAUGGCAUAGUUCUUCCGCAUGGUAGAACUAUUAAAGAAUUUCGGUCAUCGAUGGGGAUGCGUUCCAUUAGGUUGUUGGCGGGGUAACGGCCCACCAAGCCUUCGAUGGAUAGGGGUUCUGAGAGGAAGGUCCCCCACAUUGGAACUGAGACACGGUCCAAACUCCUACGGGAGGCAGCAGUGAGGAAUAUUGGUCAAUGGACGAGAGUCUGAACCAGCCAAGUAGCGUGAAGGAUGACUGCCCUAUGGGUUGUAAACUUCUUUUAUACGGGAAUAAAGUGAGGCACGUGUGCCUUUUUGUAUGUACCGUAUGAAUAAGGAUCGGCUAACUCCGUGCCAGCAGCCGCGGUAAUACGGAGGAUCCGAGCGUUAUCCGGAUUUAUUGGGUUUAAAGGGAGCGUAGGCGGACGCUUAAGUCAGUUGUGAAAGUUUGCGGCUCAACCGUAAAAUUGCAGUUGAUACUGGGUGUCUUGAGUACAGUAGAGGCAGGCGGAAUUCGUGGUGUAGCGGUGAAAUGCUUAGAUAUCACGAAGAACUCCGAUUGCGAAGGCAGCCUGCUGGACUGUAACUGACGCUGAUGCUCGAAAGUGUGGGUAUCAAACAGGAUUAGAUACCCUGGUAGUCCACACAGUAAACGAUGAAUACUCGCUGUUUGCGAUAUACAGUAAGCGGCCAAGCGAAAGCGUUAAGUAUUCCACCUGGGGAGUACGCCGGCAACGGUGAAACUCAAAGGAAUUGACGGGGGCCCGCACAAGCGGAGGAACAUGUGGUUUAAUUCGAUGAUACGCGAGGAACCUUACCCGGGCUUGAAAGUUAGCGACGAUUCUUGAAAGAGGAUUUCCCUUCGGGGCGCGAAACUAGGUGCUGCAUGGUUGUCGUCAGCUCGUGUCGUGAGAUGUUGGGUUAAGUCCCGCAACGAGCGCAACCCUUAUUGCCAGUUACUACGAAAGAGGACUCUGGCGAGACUGCCGUUGACAAAACGGAGGAAGGUGGGGAUGACGUCAAAUCAGCACGGCCCUUACGUCCGGGGCUACACACGUGUUACAAUGGGGGGUACAGAAGGCAGCUACACGGCGACGUGAUGCUAAUCCCUAAAGCCUCUCUCAGUUCGGAUUGGAGUCUGCAACCCGACUCCAUGAAGCUGGAUUCGCUAGUAAUCGCGCAUCAGCCACGGCGCGGUGAAUACGUUCCCGGGCCUUGUACACACCGCCCGUCAAGCCAUGAAAGCCGGGGGUACCUGAAGUACGUAACCGCAAGGAGCGUCCUAGGGUAAAACUGGUAAUUGGGGCU